rnacentral:ncRNA from 1 species
AAGGAUAGAGGUUGAGAAUCUGUCACCAACGCGCCAUUUAGCUAGUAGGUCGAGAAAUGCAGGAGCCUCGACAGUCCUGUCUAUCCUU